GACGAACGCUGGCGGCGUGCUUAACACAUGCAAGUCGAACGGAAAGGCCCUGCUUGCAGGGUACUCGAGUGGCGAACGGGUGAGUAACACGUGGGUGAUCUGCCCUGCACUUCGGGAUAAGCCUGGGAAACUGGGUCUAAUACCGGAUAGGAGCCAUUUUUAGUGUGAUGGUUGGAAAGUUUUUUCGGUGUAGGAUGAGCUCGCGGCCUAUCAGCUUGUUGGUGGGGUAAUGGCCUACCAAGGCGGCGACGGGUAGCCGGCCUGAGAGGGUGGACGGCCACAUUGGGACUGAGAUACGGCCCAGACUCCUACGGAAGGCAGCAGUGGGGAAUAUUGCACAAUGGGCGCAAGCCUGAUGCAGCGACGCCGCGUGGGGGAUGACGGCCUUCGGGUUGUAAACUCCUUUCGCUAGGGACGAAGCUUUUGUGACGGUACCUAGAGAAGAAGCACCGGCUAACUACGUG
rnacentral:rRNA from 1 species